rnacentral:rRNA from 1 species
UGGGGAAUUUUGGACAAUGGGCGCAAGCCUGAUCCAGCCAUGCCGCGUGUAGGAAGAAGGCGUUAUGCGUUGUAAACUGCUUUUGCCAGGGGAUAAAAAGACCGUGCGCGGUUAAUUGAAGGUACCUGGUGAAUAAGCCACGGCUAACUACGUGCCAGCAGCCGCGGUAAUACGUAGGUGGCAAGCGUUGUCCGGAUUUAUUGGGUUUAAAGGGUGCGUAGGUGGCCCUGUAAGUCAGUGGUGAAAUAUCUCAGCUUAACUGAGAGGGUGCUAUUGAUACUGCAGGGCUUGAGUACAGAUGAGGUAGGCGGAAUUGACGGUGUAGCGGUGAAAUGCAUAGAUAUCGUCAAGAACACCGAUAGCGAAGGCAGCUUACCAAGCUGUAACUGACACUGAGGCACGAAAGUGUGGGGAUCAAACAGGAUUAGAUACCCAAGUAGUCCCUGAGCGGGCUGGCAAGGCGCAU